rnacentral:lncRNA from 1 species
CUCAGUCUCAUUCAAAUUAGGAUUCGGUUUGUCUUCAAAUUCUUUCAACUCUUUGCUUAUUUCUUCUAGUGCUUCUUCUUCAUCAUAUUCCCCAUCCUGCUUCAUUACAUCUUGAUUAGUUUGGAUUUUAAGGUCAGGCUGAAAAUUCCGCAUGCAUGUCAUAUCAUUAGAAUCUGCAUAAAGAGAACUGUAUAUUAAAAAAAAAGAAAAACAAAAUAUAUUAGACACGAAUCAAAAAGGGACAUUGCAUUUCAUUAAAUAAAAAGAGAGAAGGGUUUAAACAUAUAUGCCAACAUAACAUAAACAAACUAAAAUCCGAAUUACAACCCUGAAAUAACUCGGAUAAAUAGGAAGAAAACAAAAUAAACUACCAAAACUCCCUCUUGAUGGGGAGAGGAGUGACUUCCCAAUUAUUGAGUCAGACAACUGGACCUAUGAAUUGCACAUCUGCCAUAAUGGUACCUUCUCCUGCUUUGACCAUAUCAACUUCAAUAAAAAGGUUCUACCAGUCAUCAACAAAUUUAACUUCAAAUUCCACAUGCUUCGUGACACAGCUCUUAACAAAUGAUUCACUGAGUAGUGUCAUUGGGCGAGGGAGUGACCAUAUUUCCUUUUUUCUUCCCUUGGCAUUCUUCAUAUCUUUAUCCGCAGGCUCAAAUCCCAGAUCAAAUGUGCCUAUGUUCUCACUCGGACAUAUGGGACGAACUAUACCGUGCAGAGACGCUCCCAAACUCUUUCUUGGCUGAAAUCUGUAUUUCCAAAGUUCACUCACCAUCAUAAUAGAAGUGGAAGACAAUUGCGAUCCCGGUAUAACCUGCCAUUCAAGAUGCGAUUCACUGGCACUGUAUUAAAAAUUUGAUAAACGAAUGUCUCCUCUACGUUAUUUGCUUCAAUAAGAGACAAGGGAGAAUCUUCACCGGCGGACAAAUCUCCUUCACCGUAAAUAACCACUUCUUGCCUUUCAUGCUCAAACUUAAUCAUUUGGUGCAGUAUAGAUGCAACCGUCUUGGCCUUGUGGUCCACGGCCUUCCAAUAAUAGAUUGUAAGAGAAGUCUAUUUUCAAUACUUAAAAUUCUAUGGCGAACUCAACAGGCCCUAUGGUCAACAUUAGUUUGAUUUCGCCAAUGGAGUUUGAUUUUGCACCAUCGAAAGUCCUGACACAUACAUUGUUGGGAUUGAUCCUGUCAGCACCAAUAUUCAACUUUUGUAAAGUAGAAAUAGGGCAAAUAUUUGCCCCUGAACCUCCAUCAAUCAUAACAUGAGUGAUGUAGAAAUCUUUAUACUUCACUGUAAUGUAAAGGACCCGGUUAUGCCCUGUACCUUCAGCAGGCAAUUCAUCAUCAGAAAAGCUGAUCCGAUUGACCUCAAAGAUUUUUCCAACCAUUUUCUCAAGUUGGUUGAUUGUAAUCUCCUUAGGAACAUAUGCUUCAUUUAAUACCUUCAGUAAAAUAUCAUGAUGCUCCUCGGAGUGCAACAGCAAAGAUAAAAGGGAAAUUUGCGCGGGGGUCUUCUUCAACUGGUCUAAUAUUGAAUACUCCGGCAAUUUUAUCUUUUUCAUAUUCUUCUUCGGUGAUAGGCUUUUUGAUAGAUGAUGGUCCACUCAUAAUUGGCUUGGACUUUCUUAAACUUUCAGGCAUAAAGCAUCUUCCUGACGUAGUCAAACCCCCUACCUCAUCUACAUCUUCCACUACUUCUUUCCCGCGAUAGGUCAUCAAAGUCCACCUAUAAUUCCAGGGAACCCUUUUCGAAUCAACUAUUGGUGGUUGGGUUACAGGUUUGAGGAAAAUAGGCAUUGCCAGUGCUCCUUUCACCAUCAAGAUGGGCUAACUCAAAGCUCCUACCACUGUCAACUUAGGUUUAUCCUGACUUAAAUCAACAUACCUUCUGGUGCCUUGUACUAUGAUCAGGGGUUUCUUUGUGCUUUCUUGGGCUUUAUCUUCUCUCAUUCCUUCCUGGCACGAUGACAUUACUUUCAAAGACUCUGCUACAUUCACCGAUCUCUUCUCAAUGGUCUGUACCUUGACAAUAGGCUUAUAACACCUUGAAGACUCUUUCCUAUCAUAUAUCAAUUCUAACAUAUUGGUUUCAGCAUGGGUUGGCAGCAGAUUUUGGUUAAUGUUUGGACCCUCCGGGGCCUGGACCUGCAUUUGAUUUGUGUUAAUUAAAUCUUGGAUAGCUCUCUUUAAAUGCCAGUAUUUCUCGAUAUCAUGGCCUGGCAUGUCAGAGUAGUACGCACACCUUGAAGAAUAAUCAAGAUUCCUCGGCGGUGGGUUUGAAAACCUUUCUUAAAUUGGGCUUAAGACCUUCAACUUUCUCAACCUAUCAAACAGGCUAGCAUAUGACUCCCCAAGAGGUGUGAAUUGAUUUUUGACCGUCUUCUCUUUCUUAUACUCAGGCCUAGGUUGAAAACAGGGUCUGGAGGGGUUUUGGUAAUUCGGUGGAGCAAAUGGGCGAUUUUAUGGAGCUUGCGCAUGCCAUUAUGGGUAAGAAGGAGUUUGGGCAUAUGGCUACAUGCUAUAUACUGGGUACGGGGAUGGUGGAAUGGAAUAUAAAAGAAUUUUUGGAGGGUAGUAAUUGUGGGGAGGAAUAUAUGGAGCUUGGGCGUAGACUUGGGCUUGGGAUUGGGGAUAGGGGCGAGGUGGUCUUUUAGGAUAGGAAUGGGUUCUAGAUACGACAGUCGCCACGUCCUUUUUCUUCUUUUUACCUUCGAAUGCGCUAGAUCCACCUUGAAUCGCUUGUGUGGUGGCUUUUAAUGCGGCAAAACUUACUAUUCGGCCGCUCUUGAUUUCGUCCUCUAUCAUCUCCCCCAUUUUGAGGACUUCAAUAAAAGACUUUCCCAUUGCCAGAAGUAAAUGUUGAAAAUAGGUCUCAUCCUAUGCCUGAAUGAAAACCUCUACCAACUUAAUUUCUUUCAUUGGAGGUUUUACCCUGGUGUCCUGUUCACGCUACCUUAUCGCGUAUUCCCUAAAACCUUCAGUGCUUUUCUUCUUCAUGUUGACCAAGGAUUUUUUGUCCGGAAUCAGGUCAAUGUUAUACUGAAAAUAUUGAAAAAAACUCAGAAGCUAAGUCAUCCCAUCUUUUCCUCUUGUCGAUAUCUUGAUCGAUAAACCAUUCUAAAGCCAGAUCAGAAAGACUCUUGCCAAAGAAGGCCAUGAGCAGCUCUUUCCUUCCUCCUGCAUCCCUCAACUGGUUGUAAUAACGUCUCAAGUGUGCCACGGGAUCACCGUGCCCUGCAUACUUCUCGAACUUGGGCAUUUUAAAAUCGAAGAGAAGGUUGAUGUCUGGAAACAUGCAAAGAUUUUUAGAGGAAACACUCCUAUAAUCUCCUAUUCCCUGCAAAUUCCUUAUAGCCUGUUCUAAAAUUUUCAACUUACGUGCUAUGAUUUACUGUUCCUCUAUUGCGAUACGUUUCUCCGUAUUAAAUGGAAAUACAGGUGGCUGAGUGUACCCAUACGGUUCAUUCAUUCUCAAAGUAGGCUCCGGGGCAUAAUACUGACUAUCUAGAACCUUCAAUACUGGCUCACUGGCAGACCUAGAAAGCCCCAUUGCGGGACGCACAACAUAUAAGGGAGCUUUAGGUGGUGGCGGAGCCACGAAUACCGAUGUGAUCGAUGGCACCGGCUGAGCAGUGGGUCUUGGUUGGGGAGCUGCCAAGGGCACACCAGAACUGCCAGGAUAAUAAUAUCACGGAGUGAAUCCUGGCGCGUGCUCAGGUGACUCAGUAGGAGCAGAGAAUUGCGCCUGAGAGAGCGGUGGGCAAUUAGAGAUAUUCCCAAGACCUUCAGGGAGCGUAGGAAGAGGCAUUCCUCUGGCCCAUGCCUGGUGCAAAUCUAUCAAUUAUUGCCUGAGCCUUACUACCUCCUCAUUGUGUUCUGAACUUUCUUCCCUGUGAUCCUGAUCUGGGUCAAUGAGCGAAUUUUCAAUCUCCUUGCAAGCCAUGGCGAGCUUUGCUUUAGAUCUAAUGAAGUAUGGGUGACUAGCCAGAGUGAAGCAAAUCUACCACUGUUAUCUGAAAGAACAUGCUCAUCAAAGACGACAUCGUUAGGAUUAGGGCACACAACAAGUAUGGGAAUCACAUUGGUAAAAUUGUACUAAAUUCAUGUUCAUUUCUACCAGCUUUUGAGGGUAGCGAGGUCAUUUUAACAUCAUCCCAAUUUUUAUCUACACUUAUUAUUAUUAUUAUUAUUAUUUAUUAUUAUUUUCCUCCUUUCCCUCUCUCUUAUUUUUCAUAUCAGCUCUCUGUUCUUUCCCUUUAUUGUCUCAUCAUCCUUUCUUUCUUUUCUUCUCUCGUUAUCUACCUUUAUUUUAUCACUCUUUAUGGCUUUUGUUUUUCUUUAAAAGAGGAAAAAUAAUGAAAAACAAUGAAACAAAAUGAUUAUAUCGAACCCAAAAGCAGGUUGCCUACGUAUCAUGUUGUACGCGAAUUAGAUCUUGCGUAGUUCGGCCAGCAUAUGCAUAAACAUUACAUAAUUGAAUUAUUAUUAUUAUUAUUUAUUUAUUAUUAUUUUCCUCCUUUCCCUCUCUCUUAUUUUUCAUAUCAGCUCUCUGUUCUUUCCCUUUAUUGUCUCAUCAUCCUUUCUUUCUUUUCUUCUCUCGUUAUCUACCUUUAUUUUAUCACUCUUUAUGGCUUUUGUUUUUCUUUAAAAGAGGAAAAAUAAUGAAAAACAAUGAAACAAAAUGAUUAUAUCGAACCCAAAAGCAGGUUGCCUACGUAUCAUGUUGUACGCGAAUUAGAUCUUGCGUAGUUCGGCCAGCAUAUGCAUAAACAUUACAUAAUUGAAUUAUUAUUAUUAUUAUUAUUAUUAUUAUUAUUAUUAUUAUUAUUAUUAUGUUUUGUAUUAUUAUUAUUAUUAUUAUUAUUUCGCAAAAACGAAAACAAACAAACAAAAGAAAGACGUAACCUCAUAACAGUUGAUGAAAGAAAGAAACAAAACAUGCAACGAAUUUAGGACCGCUUUAAGAACUAAAUAACAAAUACAAAAUAACAUUCUAGACCCCUAAGCUGACAUACGUGAAAUUACUGAUAAAGACCCUAAUACCAAAACAACUUGACUCUGACUUAAAACUGACGCCACCCUAAAAUGACAGAAACCUAAAAGACCUAAGCCGAAUAAAGAUAAGAAAUGCUCUUUCAGACUGGUGCUCCGCGUGAUGACUCUAGCUGAGAUGGACCUACCUGUGAAGUUCUCUUUCUCCCAUUCAAACUUUAUAGCAUAUCCUGUAAAGACACCCUGAUAUUAGGGAAGAAGCUUCGGGUCCGUAUUCCUGCCUCAUGAGGAGUGCACUUGGAAAGAUUAUUCUGACACCUUUCUACUAUCUUGAACAAAUCUGCUAACUGAACUCUCAGAGUCUCCACUUUGGACCCCACACUUUCUUCCGGAUGGUCUUGAACUGUGCAUUCUUCCUGUAUUCUCUCUCUAAGCUGCGCUGAAUAGGAUUGACUGAUACCCCGAGGGACAGAUUGAAGCCAGAUCCCAUAUCCCUGAGUGUACCCCGUAUUGUCCAAACUUUCUUUGAGGGUGUCCACACCUAGCUUUGUUGCAUGCUUCCAGAACUGCUUGUAUUUGCAUUUACCUAAGGCUUGGUCCUUGAAGUACUCAACAUCCUUUAGAAGAUCCACCACUGGUGGCACGUCCUGCGGCCUACCCAACUUGCGCAUUACCCUAGAAGGACUGUAUGGUCUAGUGCAAUUAAGCCCUAACAUAACUAGAACGAGCUACAUUUGACAACCAAACAAGAUUAUCUUUGGUCGAAGCCACAGACAAGUCCACAAAAUGUUAUCCCCGUUCCUUAACUCAAGAAAUUCAAUCCAAGCGUCGACUCCCAUGGGUAGCGAGAAUUUACCCAAACGCAACCUGAGGUCCAUGGAUUUCACUCGAUUGGGAAUACAACGCUCUACCACGUCUGGUCUAACUAAAGAAGGUGCAUGCAAAUGCUCCAUCAUCCAUAACUGCAAUAUCAGGUUACUGCCCUCAAAAAAUCUCACCUCCACUUCACUUCGGUUAAAGCCUUAUAUAUUUCUGUUAAGAUCAUGGGUAUGAGAGUGAACCUGCCCUUUUGAUUAAUGCCCUUGACAUUUUGAUCCUUAUGAAACAGAGCCAUCAUCACAGAUUGCAACCGUGUAUUAAUACGUCUUUCUUUUAGCGGAAACACUAAUGUACCUAACAAAGCAAGGGUGAAGACUUCAAGAUGCUUUCUCUCCCACUUCUCCUUAGUCAUAUAAAAUUCAUCCCAAAAGCAAUCAAAACCUUCCAUGGGCCUGAAUCUAGCAAACAAAAAAUCUAAGGAAACCCACGAAUCACUUAAACAACCCAAACACAUACCCUUACUUUUUAAACUACAAGACUACAAAAAUCUCACGCCAGUAUGAUUUCGUGCUCGGAUCAUAUCCUUCUCGAUAUAGGGCAAAUGCAACAAAUCGGAUAUUUCUGCCAAAGUAGGAGUCAUUUCACAUUCCCCAAACCUGAACACCAAAGUACUUGGAUCUCAAAAGGUCAAAAAAGCCUCUAUUAAAUCUGGACAAGGGGUUACAUGCAGAAGUUACAUAAGAUCACCUAAUAUUUUAAUCAGUUUCUGCUGAUCAACAUAGUUAAACAUUUCCCACCACUUGAUUAACUUUUUGGGCACCUUGAAAACUAUCAGGACUCUAGAAUUGGUGGACAAAUCCAUCCUGUAGUAACACAUAAGACACUAUCUCAAAAAUUCGACAGGAGUAGAAGAUUUCCAACCCUUGGGGUUUUUGACGCAAACAUAUGUCGAUGGGACAGACCACUUCAUGACUCCAAUUUGUGGAACAGAAGUACUGAGAAAAAUUAGUCUACUUGGCUAACAACUCUAUAUUACGGGGCGAUAGACCUAGGCUAAUAAUAAGACAAAGGCCAACACAAAGAUUAUCGGAGCCACCGAGGGUUGCCUACGUAUUCCAACCCGAGGUAAGGGAAUCAGGUAUGUGUAGUUCAUCUAGAUUGGACAAUUAAUGAUUAACUAAUAAAUAGACCUUAACUUAAGAGACAACCAAAAACAAACGAAUGAAAACUUUUUGGAUUUUCAUCUAGACAUUUCAACUAAGACUGACACCACCAAUUAUGAAAAAAAUCUUUUUGGUAUUUUAUUUUUGACAAAUAAGUAGAAAAGGCAAACAAAACCCCUCUUUUUUUUCUUUUUUUUUUCUUUUUUUUGUUGAACUUACGGUACUUUGAGAAGAUGAAUGCAAAAACGUAAAAAGAAAAAAUAUUUUUGAGUUUUUGGAUCGUGAAGAACAAAAGCCAUAAAGAACUCUAAAAUAAACUACGACACUCCUUUUGAUUCAAUGUUUUCAACUCACUUUUUUUCUCUCUCUCUCUCUCUCUCUAUGUAUAUAUUUUCUUUUUCAUUUUUGCCUACGCACCUUACUCCUAACAAAUGUUUAUCAGGACUCUAGAAUUGGUGGACAAAUCCAUCCUGUAGUAACACAUAAGACACUAUCUCAAAAAUUCGACAGGAGUAGAAGAUUUCCAACCCUUGGGGUUUUUGACGCAAACAUAUGUCGAUGGGACAGACCACUUCAUGACUCCAAUUUGUGGAACAGAAGUACUGAGAAAAAUUAGUCUACUUGGCUAACAACUCUAUAUUACGGGGCGAUAGACCUAGGCUAAUAAUAAGACAAAGGCCAACACAAAGAUUAUCGGAGCCACCGAGGGUUGCCUACGUAUUCCAACCCGAGGUAAGGGAAUCAGGUAUGUGUAGUUCAUCUAGAUUGGACAAUUAAUGAUUAACUAAUAAAUAGACCUUAACUUAAGAGACAACCAAAAACAAACGAAUGAAAACUUUUUGGAUUGGGUAGACACAUGAUGACAGAUAUAAAGCAUUAACACAUAGGAUAAAUACUAUAAACAAAGAGCACGAAAAACGCACAAAAGUGAAAACAAUAACACAAACAAAAUCACAAACAAUGCUUAUACACUCGUAAUGCCAAACAAAGCCGAUACAACUCCAAAAAAUAGCUCGAAUUCUGAAAACUUGUCAUUGUCCCCAGCAGAGUCGCCAGAACUGUCACACCCCUUUUUCGUACUACAAAAGAUUAGUUUUAAGUUUUGAAAGGGUUUUUAUUAUUAAAGUGACAAAGAUGAAAAUUUGUUUCGAAAAAGGACUAUUUACAUUUUUUAUUCAGAGUCGCCGCUUGGCAUAAUUUGGUGUGCCAAGUCACCACUGGAAAAUCCUUUUCAAAACUAUUUGACUCUUUAAACUGGUUUGCGANNNNNNNNNNNNNNNNNNNNNNNNNNNNNNNNNNNNNNNNNNNNNNNNNNNNNNNNNNNNNNNNNNNNNNNNNNNNNNNNNNNNNNNNNNNNNNNNNNNNNNNNNNCGAAUGUAUAAAUCACACAAAGCAUGCACAACAAUCAAUCAAGCAGACCAAAACAAAACAAUCCAAAAUUAUAAUGUCGAUUCCGAUUAUACAGUCCAAAAUAAAGUUUUAAAAAAUGCGGAAAUAUAAACCUAUGCUAACCUACACUAGUCUUAAACUACGCUCUACCCGAUGCCUUGGACCUUCAUCACGAUCGUCCUCCGCUAACAUAGUGCGUCGGGGCAUUCCCCGGUGAAUAAAUACAAUGUGUCUCGGGGCAUUCCCCGGCUAAAUGAAUAUAUUUGAAUUAAAUACGAUAAACUAGAAACAAACAUUCCCACACACAUUAAAUAUUUUGCCAAAACAACAAGUUCUAAAAUUUGCCUACCCAAGCCUAUAUUUGCAUAGUUGCUUCAACAGGUCAUAAUUCUAUCGUGCUCUAUAUCAACAAUAAAUCAAAAUUAACCUAAAAUUAUACUUUUCAUCAAUUUUCAAUUCCAACCCCCCAAACUUCCUUUUAAAAAUCACCAUUAAAAUAUGGUCAAAUUCAUUCCUCAAACUACCAAAUUCGAAUCACCAAGCAUCAUGAUCAUAGCAUUCAACAACAUCAAACAAUCGUAAAUCAAACAACACACACAAUCAGGGACAUUUCAACGAAUUUAAAAUGAAGAAGAGAGAGCGGGUUAAAGAAAUGGACCUUUCGAUAUCAACUUUCGUUGAUAGUAAUGAAUUAAAGAAGACCCAAGUUUGGAAUCCUCAAUAGCACCUCAACAAUGAAUAAGCUGCUAACUCGGUACCAAAAUCCAACCCGAACUGACUCGACCACACAAAAUCAAAGACUCAAUCGUUCCAUUAACCGAAUCGCGAUAAAGAAGAAAAUACAACCAGAUCCAAAAAUUGAUUUCAGCCAGAACCAACUCGAUACGAAACCUGAACUUAAGGUUCGAUUCAAAUACUAAAUCCACGAAGAAACUAGGAGUAUUCAACAGAAACAAUGAACAGAUUGAAAGACUAACCUAAAAAGAUCGGAAUCUAACCCAGAACAACCAAAAUCAACCCAAGAAAGUCGAUCUCCAGCUGAUUUAAUUAUCGAAAUCUUGUCUCUAGGCAGUGGCGAUGGAUUAAAUCGAAAUUCCAGCGAGUUUCGGAGUUAAAACAAAGUAGGUGAGGUGAUUUUCGGUGAAGAACGGCCAGAAAACUCGACCUACAGUCAAGUUCUUCUGACUUGUAUCUCUUUGUUCUACUCCAUUUUUGGGGUGUGUAUGUGUGAUCUCGUGUGGUUCGGAAGAGUGGGGAGGAUGGUCACCUCUGUUUUGUGGUGUGCCUGUGGUUGUUUUUUAUUCUGAGAGUGAUGUCCUCUCUAGUUUUUGGUCAGUGAGCUUAUGUAUAUCCUCCUGAUGAUGAAAAGAAAUGGAGUCGAUAUCCUCUUUUCUUUGGGUCAAAGAAACGUGGGAGAGGGGUGGUAACGUGGGGUAGGGUAGGAGGCGUAGGGGUGUUUUAUUUUGAUUGGGUAGGUUGUUAGGAUAGGAUAAAAUUAGUUAGGGAAUUGUUAUUUUUGUCAUUUUGUGGAGGGAUUAUCACACGGGUGAGGGUAUACGGUAGGAUAAGGUAAAAAAUAGGUAAAAACGAUAUCGGGGAGGGACGAAAUUAGAUGUAUACAAUAUAUAUAUAUAUAUAAUAUAUAUAUAUAUAUAUAUACAUACACACACAACAAUCACUCCAUUUUCCAUUUUUUCUUUGAUUUGAGCAGAACAUACAACACUCGAAGUUGAAAAAGAAAAAAGAAAGAUCUAGGUGAGAGAGGAACAAUAUACACGUACACAGUUAGGAUAGAUCAAAAAAUAUGGCAGGAUCUUGAGACUUAGCCAGAGUCCGCCUCUCCAUCAUUGCUUUCCCGUCGUCGUUUGAUUUUCGCCGUGAUUCUAGAUUCAUUGUUUUUCAUUAUUUUGUUUCUCUGAAAUCUUGGUGUUGAUCCUCGUUGAUCUUCGUGAAUUUUUGUUGGUUGGACUAGACUUCAAUAUUAGAUCUCGGUUGUUCAUCGAUCCCGCUCGUAGGUCUAUUUUGCUCGAAUUAGAAGUUGGAUUACCACAUUGCUGGACUGUUUAUCAUAAGAUUGUGAGAUUCAAAUUUGGUUUUAUUGUAUUCUUGGAUUGUUUCUUAACUGAUUCGGAGGAUUGAGAUUUCGUUGAGGUCUUUCAAGGUUCGUGGAUGGGCUCUUGUUUCUUUUAUUAAGUCAAUCAAAAGCUCCAAAGGUCCAAUUCUAACUUUUCUCUUUUUGAUUUUCCUGUGAUCAUGAAUGAUUUGUAUGUUUGGGAAUAUUUGAAUCCUUGUUGGUUGCUUGUUUGAUGAUGGAUUGGAGGUAAAAACUUGGUUGUUGAAUUGUGUAUAGAACUAGUUUAAUUAUUUUGAAAGUGAAUUCGGGAAGGGAUUAAAAAAUUCGUAAAAGUGAAUACCGGCUUAUGUUGAUUAAUUUGUUUUGUUGACUUAAAAUGCAUGUUAAAAUCUUCUAACUUGGUAGUAUCAUGUCUUAGGCUGGACAUAAAUAGUUAAAUUCUGUUUAGGAUCCUCCUGGAAAAUGAAAUUUACUUUCUGUUCAGGACCCUCCUGGAAAAUGGGACUUUAAUUUCUGUUCAGGACCCUCUUGGAAAAUGAGAUUUACUUUAUGUUAAGGACCCUCCUGAAAAAUAGGACUUUAGUUUCUGUUCAGGACCCCCAUGAAAAAUGAAAAUUUACUUUAUCUUCAGGACCCUCCUGAAAAAUGAGACUUUACUUUCUGUUCAGGACCCUUCUAAAAAAUGUGAUUUUACUUUCUGUUCAGGACCCUCCUGAAAAAUAGGAUUUUACUUUCUGUUCAGGACCCUCCUGAAAAAUGGGACUUCACUUUCUGUUCAGGAUCCUUCUGAAAAAUGGAACUUUACUUUCUAUUUAGGACCCUCCUGAAAAAUAAAAUUUUACUUUCUGCUCAGGACCCUCAUGAAAAAUGAGAUUUUACUUUUUGUUCAACACCCUCCUGAAAAAUGAGGUUUACUUUAUGUUCUGGACCCUCCUAAAAAAUGGGACUUCACUUUCUGUUCAGGACCCUCCUGAAAAGUGUGAUUUUAUUUUCUGUUCAGGGCCCUCCAGAAAAAUAAGAUUUUACUUUCUGUUCAAGACCAUCUUCGAAAAUGGGACCAUACCAUCAAAAAUUAAAAACUUCUUUAUUAUAAUCUUUGUUUGGGAUAAUUUUCAUUCUAGUUUUGAUUCUGGUUUCUGGAGUCCGCCUGAAGAAGAAGGUGAUAAAAUUGAAAGUUGAUGGAAAAUUGCAAGUCAGUAGUCCACUUGAAGAGUAGGGUGAUGAAACUCAAGUCAAGAGUCCAAAAAGAAGCUGUAUAGGUAGGAUUUUUGCAAUUUUAUUUACGUUUUAACUUGUAAUUUUUAUUUUUGAUGUAAUAACAAAGCUGCGGAUCGGAGCCUCGAUGGGACCUCACUCAAUUCUCCAACUUGGUAUAGUCUCUCUCCAUCUAAUCCUUUGAGAUACCUGUCACUUUAUUAACUCAUAACGUGGGUAGGUAGGAUGUCCUAAGUCAAGACCUGGUUUUCCUCCUUCCCCUUGCUCCAUGCUUUUGAAUAAAGAUUGGAACAAAAUUUAUCUUGUUGUCUACUGCUUUGUAUGAAAACACCAUGUGUUUGCAUCCAAAGGGGGCAUGAUGUAGACAUGUAAUUUUGUCCCUCCCAACAAAAAUAUAUUUUAAUUAUUUCUAUUUUUAUUUUUAUUUCAUUUAUUUUAUUUUUAUUUUAUUUUAUUUUAUUUUUAUUCUAUUUUUAUUUUUAUUUCUAUUUGCAUCCACUUGACCAUGCCACCUCAACACUUCACCCCUCAGUUUUCAUUAGAUACAUGCAAAGGGUACACACCCUACUCAUUUUGCCACAUGCCACACUCAUCUUUCCACAUGUCAUACUUUAUUUUACACAUGCCACACACAUAUACCCACAAGCCACCAAUGAUAUUCAUACACAAUAUAACUAAAAAGCAAAAAAAUAAAAUAAAAGAGGAGAAUGGAGACAAAAGAGGGGGUCCCACGUGGCUUGGUUGGUUUUUCUUUUUGUUCAAUUGAUUGAUAAAAGAAUUAUAUUAGGGGAAUCUUCCAUAGGAUACCUCACAUACAUUGGCCCAACAACAAACAAAUUCACACACCCUCACGUAUACAUAGAUAAUUACAUCCAGAAAGGGUGGGGUGGGGUGGGGGGGGAAUUUUUCUUUGAUCAUCUUCUUCUUCUUUAAAUUUCACCAUACAUAGGAACUUGACCAAGAGUAUAUAUAUAUAUAUAUACACACAACAAUCACUCCAUUUUCCAGUUUUUUUAUUUGAUUUGAGCAUAACAUACACCACUCGAAGUUAAAAAUAAAAUAAAGAAAGAUCUAGGUGAGAGAGGAACAAUAUACACAUACACAGUAAGGAUGGAUCGAAAAAAAUGGCAGGAGCUUGAGACUUAAUCGGAGUCCGCCUCGUCAUCGCUGCUUUUCUGUCGUCGUUUGAUUUUUGCCAUGAUUCUGGAUUCAUUGAUUUUCAUUAUUUUGUUACUCUGAAAUCUUGGUGCUGAUCCUCGUUUCUCUUUGCGGACUUUUGUUGUUCGGACUAGGCUUCAAUGUUAGGUCUCAAUUGUUCAUCGAUCCCGCUCGUAGGUCUAUUUUGUUUGAAUUGAAAGUUGGAUUACCACAUUGCUGGACUGUUUAUCAUUUGAUUGUGAGAGUUGAAUUAGGUUUUAUUGUAUUUUUGGACUGUUUAUCAACUGAUUCGGAGGAUUGAGUUUUGGUUGAGGUCCUUCGAGGUUCAUGGACGGGCUCUUGUUUCUCUUAUUAAGUCAAUCGAAAGCUCCUAAGGUCCAAUUCUAACUUUUAUCCUUUUGAUUUUCCCGUGAUUAUGAAUGAUUUGUAUGUUUGGGAAUAUUUGAAUCCUUGUUGGUUGCUUGUUUUAUGAUGGAUUGGAGGUAAAAACUUGGUUGUUGAAUUGUGUAUAGAACUAGUUUAGUUAUCUUGAAAGUGAAUUCAGGAAGGGAUUAGAAAGUUCGUAAAAUUGAAUACCGACUUAUGUUGAUUAAUUCGUUUUGUUGACUUAAAAUACAUGUUAAACUCUUCGAACUUGGUAGUAUCAUGUCUUAGGCCGUACAUCAACAGGAAAUGUUUCUGUUGAAUGAUUUUUUUUUAUUUCAUUGCAAUUAAUCUAAUGUAUUCAUUUAGCCGGGGAAUGCCCCGAAGUAUCUGUAUAUAUAUUUAUUCACCGGGAAUGCCCUGACGUACUAUGUUGGUGAAGGAGGAUCGAGAACAACGCCCGAAGUGUCGAGUAAAGCAUGAGAGCGAAGUUUGAAUUAGUAUAGGUUAGGUAGGAUUUGUUUUUCGCAUUUUUUCUAUUUGGACUAUAUAAAUUGGAUUGGACACUAUAUUUUGAUUCGUUUUUGUUUUGUUUGUUUGUUUGAUUGUUUUUACAUGUUUUGUGUGGUUUGUACAUUCGUAGUGUCAAAAUUAACCGAUACGCUCCACCAAGCGACCGUGGUCAUACCACGGGGUCAAGGGGUGCCUAAUACCUUCCCCUCAAUCAACAAAAUCCUUAGUCGGAAUUCCUGUUCUUAAACAGUUUAAAGAGUCAAAUGGUUUUGAAAAGGAUUUUUCAAUGGUGACUUGGCACACCGGAUUAUGCCAAGUGGCGACUCUGAGUUUAAAUCUAAAUAAUCCUUUUUUGAAACAAAUUUUCAUCUUUUGUCACUCAAUAAUAAAAAACCCUCUUGAACUUAAAACAAAUCUUUUUUUAGAGUUAGCAAAGGGGUUAGGCAGCUCUGGCGACUCUGUUGGGGAUCAAACCCAAAAUAUAUGGUUAUUUUAUCGAGUCUUAUCAUCUUUGUUUGGCAUUAUGACUGUAUAAACAUUGUUUGUGAUUAUUGUUUGUGUUGUUGUUAUCACUGUUGUGCGUUUCUGUGCUCUCUGUUUACAGUUUUUAUUUAUUUGUUACCGCUUUAUAUUUGGCAUCAUUUGCAUAACUCAAGUCAAUUCUUUCUGCAACAAGUCUCAGAGUGCAUAUCGUGCGCACGAACUUUAGUUGAGUCACCCUUAUUUUAGGGGGGAAGCCGUUGGAUGUAUGGAGUAGGUAGAAAGCAAAGCAGCCACUAUCGACCAUAUGUUCCCCCGAACGGCCUGGUUAGUAAACCACAACGUAGGUCAGUCUUUAGGUCAUUCUUAUGUGCAUCAUAUUGAGACCUAGCAGGGGCCACACGGUCCUUUGUAGGAAACUCACCUUUAAAGCAUGAAUCAGGUGUGCGUAGUUCGUGAAGUUUUGCCAAAAUGGCCAAUUAAACUCUUUUUCCAUUCUUUUUCUUUUUCUAGAAUCUUAAAAAAAAAAUAACAAAUUGUCAAAAGAAUUGACAAAAAUCUUUUUGUAUUUUUCAAGUUUAAAUCCUUAUACAAAAUGAAAUCUAUAAUUACCAAUGAAAAUAUUUUUGGGCUUUCAAUUUUGAGUUUCAUACAAAAAUGAAAUUUAAACCUAUUAAAGGAAUUUUUUUUGUAAUUUCUUUUAAAGAUGUAUAUGAAACAUCUACUCUAAAUGAAGAGUGAGGAAAUAUCUAUUAUUACCAAAGAAAAUCUUUUUGGGCUUUCAAUUUGAAGUUUCACACAAAAUGAAAUUUAAACCUAUUAAAGGAAAAUCUUUUUGUAGUUUUCGUUUAAAAAUGUAUAUGAAACAUCUACUGUAAAUGAAGAGUGACGAAAAUCUUUUGAAUUUUUUCAGAUUUCUAUACAAAAUGAAAUUUAUGAUUACCGAAGAAAAUAUUUUUGGAUUUUCGAUUUUGAAUUUCAUACGAAAAUAAAGCUUGAACCUAUUAAAGGAAAAUAUUUUUUUGUUAUUUUGUUUUAAAGAUGUAAAUGAAAUACCUACUCUAAAUGAAGAGUGAAGAAAAUCUUUUUUUGGAUUUUUGAAAUAAGAUCCAUAACAAAUAAAACCUAUGAUUAUUAAGAAAAAUCUUUUUGUAUUUUUCUUUUCAAGACAUAUAUGAAACACCUACUCUAAAUGAGGAGAAGAAAAUCUUUUUUUUUUAUUUUUUAAAUAAGAUCCCCGAACCAACAAUAGGUUGCCUACGUAUCUCACUCCCGAGAGAGGAGAAUCAGGGGUGCGUAGUUCAUCCAGAUAGGACAAUUAAUGAUUAAAUAACCGACUGAACUCUAACUGGAGAGAUGCGACCACAAACAGAAGAUGAAAAACAUUCAUAAAAUCUUUUUGAGUUUUCAAUUUGACACUUAACCUAAAAAUGACACCAACAAAUAUGAAAGGAAAAUCUUUUUGAUAUUUUCAUUAUAUGAAAUAUACAAAACUUCUACCAUUUUUUUCUUUUUUUUUUUUUUACAAUUUCCUUUAUAAAAAUCUCCCAUUAAAAAAAUCAUUUUUUUUUUGAAAAUUGUUGAAUUGUGAAAGACAAAAGCCAUAAAGAACACUAAAAGCUACGAAACACUUUUUUUUUUCAAAUGGUUUCUUGUUUACAUAGUUUACUUUUAACACAUGUUUUCCCCAAAUCAGUCCAUCAAAUGACCACGUUACCCUCAAAGAUGCAACAUUUAGCACAUAGCGAAUUCUUCAGAUGCAAGUCUCCUACAAAGGGCCAUGUGGGUCUCGGUAGGUCUUCAAUAUGAUGCACAUAAUCAUGACCUAAAGGCUGACUUAUGUUGGUGUUCACUAACAAGGUUGUUCGGGGGAGCGUAUGGUCGAUUGUGGCUGCUUUGCUUUCCACCUACUCCAUAACACCGACAGCUCCGCCCCUAAAAUAAGGGUGACUCAACCAGAGGUCGUGUACACCAUGUGUACUACGGACUUGUUCCAGAAAGAAUGACUCGGGUUAUGCAAAUGAUGCCAGAUAUAAAGCGGUAACAUAUAAAAUAAAAACUGUAAACAAAGAGCACGCAAGCACUCAACAGUGAUAAUACGAUAACACAAAACAACACAAACAAAAUGUCCAUACACCUAUAGUGCCAAACUAAGCUGAUACAACUCCAAAAUAAGCUCGAAUUUUGAAAAGUCCCCAGCAGAGUUGCCAGAGCUGUCACACCCUUUUUUUACAACCAAAAAGAUUCGUUUUAAGUUCGAAAGGGUUUUUAUUAUCAAAGUGACAAAAGAUGAAAUUUUUUUUCAAAAGGACUAUUUACAUUUUUCUUCAGAGUCGCCACUUGGCAUUAUCCGAUGUGACAAGUCACCUUUGAAAGAUCCUUUUCAAAAUGAUUUGACUCUUUAAAAUUGGUUUGGGAACAGAGAUUCCGGCUAAGGAAUUCUGUUGACCGAGGGGAAGGUGUUAGGCAUCCCUCAAUCCCGUGGUUCGACCACGGUCGCUCAGUGGAAUAUAUCGGCUAAUUUGACACUAUGAAUGUAUAAACCACACAAAGCACAUAAACAACCCAAACAAGCAAAAAAAUAAAACAAUCCAAAAUUUACGAUGUGCAGUCCAAUUAUACAGUCCUAAGAAUAAAAAUGCUAAGAAUAAAUCCUAUUCUAACCUAUGCUAAUGUUGAACCAUGAUCUGAUGCCUUACUCGAUAACUCAAGACUUCAUCACGAAUGUCUUUCUCUAACACAAUACGUCGGGGCAUUCCCCGAUAAAUAAAUACAAGGCAUCUCGGGGCAUUCCCCGGCUAAAUGGAUACAUCUGAAUUAAACACGAUAAACAAGAAAGAGAUACUCACGCGUAUAUUCCAACAUUCAACCGAAACACAAGUUCUAAAUUUACUUACCCGAACCUAUAUUUGCCUAUCCCACUCGUCCUAUUAUGAUACUAUGAAGUUCGAUAUCAAUGAAUCAAAACAACAAUAAUCAGUUUAUCAACUUUUAACUUCCGCCCCAAAACAAUCAAUUUUAAUUCUCAAACAAGGUAUCAUUUCAUCACAUAAUCCAUAAUCAAUCCACAAUCAAGGGAAUCAACCACCGAAUCAGAACAAACAAAUAUUAACCAAUCCAACACUUAGACGUCAUCAACAAUUCACAUACCGAAUCACGUUCCACAAUCACAUACCUCAAUGCAGCUUUCAAGUAUUAUUCAAUCAAACGAGAUGAAUUCCGCACCGGAACCUCGAAUCGAACCUCAACACGAAUUCCAAAUCAAGCUUCGGUUUCACAAAAAAAAAUAUCCGAGCAUUCCAAAACCCAUAAAUUAAUAGAUAGUACAACAAGAGAAGAAUCCCGAAGAAACUUUCACGCGACAAUUCCAACGAGACUAGGCCGGAGACGUCAAAAACAGCCGAUUAAGCACCGGAUUUUGGCAUUUUCAGCAAGGCUCAAGAUUUUUCUAGUGAAAAUCGCUUUAAAAUUUAACAAAAGCGGAUCUCUCACUGAUUCACUUUCCCUCUCCCUUGUCUCACUGUUUCUUCUCUCUCCCUUCAAUUCUCUCUUUUCCCUUUGAUUCUCUCUCUCUCCCUCCAAGUAUCUUUCUCUCUCUCAUCUCUCUGUCCGUUUGGUUCCCUCUCUAUCCCAAAUUGUGUGUUAUGGAGAAAUAAUGGUUGUGGGUGUGUUCGUUAGCCAUGGAGAAGAGAAGAAAGAAAAAAAAUACCAUCUCCCGAGGUCUGUGUUCCUCCGGUGUGAAUGGCCCUUGAAUUGUAUAUGGGUAUUGAUGGGUAUAUGUGAAUUGUGGAGAAGAUAGAUGUUGAUGGUGUCCACCGUUCGUAUUGUUACCCCCUUGUGCAUGUAUGUGAUGUGCAUAUAUAUCCAUUCUGUUGAAAUUAUAUGGGUCCUGAUUGGAAUUGUACGUGAGGUGUGAGGGUAGGCGUGGGGUAGGGGUAGGUUGUUAAGAUAAAGUUUGUUAGGAUAAAAUUUGUUAGGGUAGGUGGGGUAGAGGUUGUUUAUUAUUUUGUCCUUUUAUGGAGGGAUAAUUA